rnacentral:misc_RNA from 1 species
AGCAACAGCCUUGUCAACCAUUCCUGCUGCUGGGUCCAUCAACUCCACAAGAUGCCUCACAGCUCCAGCUUGUACAAUUCUAGCUUUGUUCUCAUGGAAUAUUGACAAAUUAAACAGAGCUGUAGCUGCAUCCUUCUUUCCCCUUGGGGUUCCAUUGCCUAAUAAUUCAACCAGGGGCCCUAUUGCUCCGGACCUUCCAAUUUUGACCUUGUUCUCUUCAAUCACUGAGAGGCUAAAAAGAGUUGCUGCUGAGUUCUCCUUCGCUUCUGGGCUCCCAGUUUUAAGAACAUGAAUCAAAGGUUCAAUGGCAUUAGCCUGAGCUAUGGCACUUUUGUUAUUAUCAUUGAUGGAUAAGUUUAGAAGUGCUGUCACAGCAUUCUCCUGGAUCUUCGAGUCAGCAGAGAGGAGCAAAUCAACCAAAUAUUCAAUCGCCCCACAUUGAGCAAUCACUAUCCGGUUAUCCAUAUUAUGUUUAGCCAGCAACCGCAAUUCAGCUGUGGCACCUCUUAAAGUGUCAAGUGAACUGCUCUUUAAU